rnacentral:misc_RNA from 1 species
CUCACCGCUCCAAGUCGAAGACGUGUGUUCUUCGCCUAGAAUCAUAUGCAUAUUUACGUUGCGCUGCGGAAAGCAACACGCAUCGACGUACGUACGUUUUACUCGCUUACUUUCACGAGGAAUGACUCAGGGGCUCUGCGCCCCUGCGAUGAUUGCGGUUUGAGAUCAGGGGUGUGAGGGGCGGUGCGAAAAGCGUGCUGAUUCUCGCAUACAUUGCGCAGGACGUCGGCGCCUUAGCGUUACGACCACCCCCUGACCGAUUCGGUCGUUGUUUGCUAGCUCCAUAUCGCGAACGUCCGCGUGGAGAGAAGACGGACGGAUCGCGUCGUUGUUUCGUUCUUUCGUAUGUGAAAAAGCACUCGCGUUUUUCUCUGAUUUAUUUUUAACUAAGUAAAAGGAAAAAGGUUUUCCCUUCGAUAGGAUCGAUCGAAGUUGCACAUCGAAAAUAUAUAAAUCUUAUGCAAGAAGGAAAUAAGAAGAAGUUGAAAAGAAUCGAAUUAAGAAGCAGUGUGCCUCUAUUCCCAUGAACCCGUGGUGAGGAGGAGUGGUGCUGGUGAUAGUGGUGGUGGUUGCGGUAAAACGUGUCCACGAACUCUUGCCCUCCUCCUCCUCCUUCUCCUCCUCCUUGACUCCCCCUAGGAGCCGGUACAACAGGACGUUAAGAGACGAGGGUGAACAAAAGGGUCGUUUUCUGGGUUCGUCAAUACUCGAACAAGAUUUUCUCAUUCUCGUCUGGUAUUUUUCAUAUUUCUUGGCUGGUGGAAUUGUGUGGCCGUAGUGAAACGUGUGCAGAUAUGCGCGUGCUAUCGAUCACGCGACCCGAUUGCGCGGAUAUGUGAUACCGGAAGUAGGUACGGCAGGCUUGACCUGCGUGCAGGUGCUCCACAGUGCGUGCCACGUAUGCGUACAUACAUAGGGGCGAGCAGCGACAGAGUAGAGAAGGGUGCGCGAGAAGAGGCCGCGUGUCAGGGCCAGUCGUGAAGAUGCACGCCACCGACGCCGUCGACGUGACGGCGUCCCUGCCGUCAUCCACGUCCUCCGUGGCCGCCUCGAGGAGCUUCGGGCAUGAAGUCAGGCUCGUCUUCGUCCUGCUCGUGUCCUGCUGGAUCGUCCAGGAUCGGCUAGUGCUCGGGAUGUCCGAGCCACCGGAGCUAACCACGAUUGAAGACUUAACCGACAGAGGGACGAAGAAGUUUGGCGAUGAUUGCGUGGAAGAUCGUGAAUGCAGUUUCUCUGGCUCUUAUUGCGAGCCAAAAAAGAACAAAUGUUCGUGCAGGGAGGAAUUCGAGGCGACGAAUCAUAUCGACAAAUGUGGACACCCGGUGAACGUGAACGAGUCAUGCUUUUUCCAUGAGCAAUGUGAAGCGAGAGUGAGUCAAACCGAAUGCAGGGACAAUCGUUGCAUUUGCAUCUUCGAGAAGAUCCCGGUUACGCAGCCUGACGGCAUGAUUGUGUGUGUCGCUGAGCAAAAAGAAGAACCCAAUCUUCAAUAUAUCGAUCCGACGAUGAUUGGUGUUCUCGUUGGUAUGGCCCUCAUGUUCAUCAUCAUCUGCGUCGUUCUUAGGCUUUUCAGCAAAGCUCGUUGGCGCGAAAAUCGUACAAUUUUUAACACCCCGAACGCCCGUCUAAUGAACGUAUCGUUACUAAGAGAGAAUAAGCUCCUGCAUCCGCAGGAAAGACGCGGUUCAAGGGCAAGCGUACGAGUUCCUUCGAGGCAACCCUCGAUGGCCUCCUUACGUGCCCAUUCGCCGAAUGCCUCGCAAGUCGAUCAUCUAUAGCAGUAGUCUGUUUAAUGAUCCCGUCUGUGACCGUUGUUCUUGAUUAUCUUAUAUACUGCGGAUUAUAUACUACGGACCUAUGAGGUGCUCUAUUGUAAAAAACUUUUCAAAUUGACGCGUCCUUCGAAGAGGGGUCACGAACAGGAUCACGACGGGGAAGUCGCGGUAGCAGUGGGAAUGCGUCAGCCGUCUCAACGAAAUCGAACAAAUCGCCACCUAAUCAGCCAAAUACCAUGUCUGAAACUAUUCAUUCGGAAAAUGUCACCGUUGAAAUUCUCGAGGCUAAAGCGUAGAUCCACUGGAAAUCCACGGCCAUCGUUGCUACGCCUUUCUCUUUCCAAUGACGGUUGUGAAGUCGCCCUAAAGAAAGAAUCGUCUAGACGUCUUCAAAGCAACUUUACGCAAUCUCUUUUUCAGAAUGUACAAAUUUCUAUUCACAUAAAUCCCUUUUCUCUUUUUUAUUCGAAAAGAUUCGCUCGUCUUACGUCUACUACUUUGGUACAAAGAAUUUUUCUGAUUGACAUGCGUUUACAUAUAACUUAUCCGGCCAUUUGUUAUCAUUAUCGAUUAUAAAUCAAAGUUUAAUGUGAAGAAAAUAGAUUAUGCCAGAAAUACUUAGUUUGAGAAUUUUAGGAAAUAAGAGAAAUUAUAUUAUAAUUCGUACUGAUUGUAAGAUAAUCACUGUUUAAUUUUUAUGUUUAAAAGAUGUUAAAUUCGAUAAAGAAUUAACGGAUAUAUUCGCGAUAUUGAUAUUAAAAUCAAACAAACAUAUUUUAUGUCACGAAAAGAAUCUAAUAUUCGAAAUAUUUUACACAAAAAAAAAAUAGAUAAUCACUUUAUAUCGAAAAA